rnacentral:rRNA from 1 species
CCUACGGGAGGCAGCAGUGAGGAAUAUUGGUCAAUGGACGAGAGUCUGAACCAGCCAAGUAGCGUGAAGGAUGACUGCCCUAUGGGUUGUAAACUUCUUUUAUAAAGGAAUAAAACGAGGCACGUGUGCCUGUUUGCAUGUACUUUAUGAAUAAGGAUCGGCUAACUCCGUGCCAGCAGCCGCGGUAAUACGGAGGAUCCGAGCGUUAUCCGGAUUUAUUGGGUUUAAAGGGAGCGUAGAUGGGUUGUUAAGUCAGUUGUGAAAGUUUGCGGCUCAACCGUAAAAUUGCAAUUGAUACUGGCAGUCUUGAGUACAGGUGAGGUAGGCGGAAUGCGUGGUGUAGCGGUGAAAUGCUUAGAUAUCACGAAGAACCCCGAUUGCGAAGGCAGCUUACUAAACUGUGACUGACAUUGAUGCUCGAAAGUGUGGGUAUCAAACAGGAUUAGAUACCCUAGUAGUC